rnacentral:rRNA from 1 species
GACGGGGGGGGCAAGGGUUCUUCGGAAUGACUGGGCGUAAAGGGCAGGUAGGCGGUGAAUCGGGUUGAAAGUGAAAGUCGCCAAAAAGUGGCGGAAUGCUCUCGAAACCAAUUCACUUGAGUGAGACAGAGGAGAGUGGAAUUUCGUGUGUAGGGGUGAAAUCCGUAAAUAUACGAAGGAACGCCAAAAGCGAAGGCAGCUCUCUGGGUCCCUACCGACGCUGGGGUGCGAAAGCAUGGGGAGCGAACAGG